UACGGAGGGGGCUAGCGUUGUUCGGAAUUACUGGGCGUAAAGCGCACGUAGGCGGCUGUGUAAGUUAGAGGUGAAAGCCCGGGGCUCAACUCCGGAAUUGCCUUUAAGACUGCAUCGCUAGAAUUGUGGAGAGGUAAGUGGAAUUCCGAGUGUAGAGGUGAAAUUCGUAGAUAUUCGGAAGAACACCAGUGGCGAAGGCGACUUACUGGACACAUAUUGACGCUGAGGUGCGAAAGCGUGGGGAGCAAACAGG
rnacentral:rRNA from 1 species